AUGAAUUUUCCCAAAUUUGAUGGUAAGGAUGUCCGAAUCUGGCUGGAUGGCUGUGAUGCUUACUUUGCACUGUAUGACAUUCCAGAAAAUUUCAAAGUCACUUCAUUAACUCUGCAUUUGGAAGGGGAUGCAGCUCAUUGGUAUCAUUCAUACAAAUUGUCAGUUGGCUGGGUGGAUUGGAUGAGUUUCAGAGAGGCUGUGCUUGCAGAAUUUGAUGUGAAUGUGCAUAGAGAAACAAUGAGAGCCCUACUUCUUCUGAAACAGAAGGGAACGGUGGAGGAGUACAAAAGGGAGUUCCUCCAAUUAAUGUAUCAGAUCAAGCUUUAUGAGCCAGCAGUUAGUGAGACUUUCUUGGUAACCAGAUUUAUGUUAGGGCUGAAGGAGGAGCUCAAGGGAGCGGUAGAGAUACAAUUUUCCAUAUCCAUCACGGCUGCAGUAGCUUUUGCAACAGUGCAGGAAGCCACCAUGGCUAGACAAAGGAACGGCAAGUUUCAAUCCAAACAACCGUUCUCUAGGACCGAUAGCAGGCAACCAUCCUCAUCAGGAGAUCUGUGGAAGGCCAGGCAGCUCAAGGAUUAUAGGCGAGCCAAUGGACUAUGUUUUAGUUGUGGGGAGAAGUUUACCCCGGGGCAUGUGUGUGCCAAGCAAAAUCCAGCUGCUGUCCAGGCUAUAGUAACUGAGCAAGUUGACAUGGACAGAAUUCCAGAUGCGGUGUUGGAUGCUAUUGCAAUGCAGGAGGCAGUAGAAGAGGAGCUGCUGCUCUCAGUAAAUGCAAUUUCAGGGGCAGACCACCCAAAGACAAUCAGGUUCAGAGCCCUGGUGGGCAAUUUCAUAUCGGGAGAGCUUGGGCAUGGGAACUGCCUGAUGCUGCAGUGA
rnacentral:rRNA from 1 species